rnacentral:lncRNA from 1 species
AUCCCCAAACCUCCCAUCCUCGUCGUCCUCUGAAUCUGCUUCGCGAUCGAAUUUGGAUUCGAUUGGGGGAGCCAAUCUACCACACCCGCCGCGCGCCGACAUACUAUGGUUCACGCCCGCCGCCGCCCAUCGCCACCGCCGUCGUCCUCCUCGCCGAUGCUCCACAAGAACCUCCGCGCGCUCGGCCCCGGCUUGAAUCCCUUCGCUCCUUUCGGCAUGGGCAACUACUCCCUCGCUUCCUCCUCCC